GCUCUGAUAGGGCUACCCCGCCGUUCGUCUACUCCCACCCACCCCCACCCCAACCUGCGCGCGAUCUCCUCGGAGCUUUUUAUUGAACGGCGCCGCUCCUCGAGGCGAUUGGCCGGCUCGCCUCGGUAGAACCCGCCUUUCUUUAUUUCUUCAGCCGUUGGGGUUGGCUCUUCUCGAAGGCAGCUGGUAUGUUCAAAACAAUUCACCCAUCAGUUGAAACAGAGAAUAAAAAAUUGGCUUUUACAACCGGCAAGGAUGCUCAAGGCAGAAAUUUGUGGGCGUGGACAUUCCUACAGAAUCAAGAGUCAACAGCCUUUUCCUCUUGAGGGCUGCAGUCAACAUAUCAAUGGCUAAUUGAAGACUCGGGUUUUGCCUGUCAGCCAGCAUUCAGAGACUCUUUGCAAAACCUCUCUUGCACUUGACUCAUGGCUGAGAAGUCAUCUCUUCUGCUGACAUACUUCCUCGCUUUUCAUUUAACGCCUGGUCAAAAGAGCUGAAGUUUCCGAGCUUCUGGAGACUGUUUUUCCCCUACAGCCCCCCUCCCCUGCCCAGCUGUUCCGAUGUGAAAUCGAGGGCAUCACCACAGCAAGAAGGCAGAAGUAAGAACCUUUCCCUUUAAAAUGGUUCACAUUUCUGUUUUUGUCAUUAACAGCCUCCGAUCUUCAGGGCAGAAUAAAGCCCAGCGGUGGUUUCCUGUUUUAAACUUCCUUCCUCUCUCAUUUGAUGCUAUAAAUAUAAAUAUAUAUAUAACUAGCUGAUAACCUGGUGCU